AUUUCAACUUGAUCUCGGUCGUCUGGACGAACCCUACCGACUUUCAUGGGUACGACAUUUAGACGGUAGGGUUCGUCCAGACGACCCUAGGAACGGUAGCGCUCGUCGUGGCGGAGGGCUACAACAACAUACUGUCUAUAUUGGUCAAUAUAAACAAAGCAGUUCAAAAGUGUCAAUUCAGGCAUCGAGCCAGAACCAAAGCCGAUAAAAGAAAAAAUUAUGCUCUACAACAGGAACCUAAACAUUCAUGGAACUUCUUGGCAGUAAUUUUGGCAGAGGCAGAGGCCGAGUUACCCAGUCUGAUGAAGUUGUAGCAGUUUCUAAUCAAGAAACUGCUAGUGAAAUAACUCCCAGUCUAAUGAAAGAAGUGGUGUACAGGAUAUCAUUCAUUCAGUCGCACUGGAAAAGACAUCAUUGAAGCAAGCAUUUCACAAUUUCACAAGAAGAAAAAGGAACUAAUCAAGAAAGCGAGUGGAAAACUUGCAUGAAAGACAAGGAAGAUGCUUGGGAUUCCAAGAGAGAUGCUGUCUUUCAAAACUACAUUAGCUCCCGUUCCUACAGUGCAAGUAAAUGUGGUGUAUGUGAAAAAGUCACUAAUCCUGUUUGUUGCUUUACUUGCAAGCAAGAUUUCUGCAGCAAAUGUGAUAUGAUCACUCACCGCAAACUGUUGGUACUACACAAUAGGGAGGUGUGUGAGAAUGGCGAAAAUUUAAAAUUCUUGCGCCAAAACGAGUUCAUAUCUGAAGAUGGGUACAUCACUGUUGAAGUGUCCCUUCCUGAAUGCAAAAGCCCUCAUUCGUGUACUACGAAACCUGGUUCAAGAGACGUAACCGUAGUUACAGCCAAUGGUAAAUGAGGGCAACUUCACGGAGGACAACCGAUUACCUGGAUUACAUCGACGAAGACACAAACAAUUAUCAAGACUACGCUGAUGAAGAAAAUGAAGACAACAAUUAUUAUCCAUCGUUUAAAACGCUCACAUAUAUUGUCAUGCAAAUCUUGUAAUCACAUUUGAAAUAGAGCUAUUGUUUGAAGGGAAUAAAAGUAUUAUUACGA
rnacentral:lncRNA from 1 species